rnacentral:rRNA from 1 species
CCUACGGGCGGCACCAGUGGGGAAUAUUGCACAAUGGGCGCAAGCCUGAUGCAGCCAUGCCGCGUGUAUGAAGAAGGCCUUCGGGUUGUAAAGUACUUUCAGCGGGGAGGAAGGCGAUAAGGUUAAUAACCUUGUCGAUUGACGUUACCCGCAGAAGAAGCACCGGCUAACUCCGUGCCAGCAGCCGCAGUAAUACGGAGGGUGCAAGCGUUAAUCGGAAUUAUUGGGCGUGAAGCGCACGCAGGCGGUCUGUCAAGUCGGAUGUGAAAUCCCCGGGCUCAACCUGGGAACUGCAUUCGAAACUGGCAGGCUAGAGUCUUGUAGAGGGGGGUAGAAUUCCAGGUGUAGCGGUGAAAUGCGUAGAGAUCUGGAGGAAUACCGGUGGCGAAGGCGGCCCCUGGACAAAGACUGACGCUCAGGUGCGAAAGCGUGGGGAGCAAACAGGAUUAGAUACCCUCGUAGUC